rnacentral:rRNA from 1 species
ACGCAACUCCUUUAACUGGAGAAUAGCCCCUCGAAAGAGGGAUUAAUACUCCGUAACAUAUUGAUAAGGCAUCUUAUUAAUAUUAUAGCUCCGGCGGUUAAAGAUGGGCGUGCACCUGAUUAGAUAGUUGGCGGGGUAAUGGCCCACCAAGUCUGCGAUCAGUAACUGGUGUGAGAGCACGACCAGUCACACGGGCACUGAGACACGGGUCCG